rnacentral:rRNA from 1 species
AACGAACGCUGGCGGCAUGCCUAACACAUGCAAGUCGAACGAGACCUUCGGGUCUAGUGGCGCACGGGUGCGUAACGCGUGGGAACCUGCCCUUAGGUUCGGAAUAACUCCCCGAAAGGGGUGCUAAUACCGGAUAAUGUCUUCGGACCAAAGAUUUAUCGCCUUUGGAUGGGCCCGCGUUGGAUUAGCUAGUUGGUAGGGUAAAAGCCUCCCAAGGCGACGAUCCAUAGCUGGUCUGAGAGGAUGAUCAGCCACACUGGGACUGAGACACGGCCCAGACUCCUACGGGAGGCAGCAGUGGGGAAUAUUGGACCAUGGGCGAAAGCCUGAUCCAGCAAUGCCGCGUGAGUGAUGAAGGCCUUAGGGUUGUAAAGCUCUUUUACCCGGGAUGAUAAUGACAGUACCGGGAGAAUAAGCUCCGGCUAACUCCGUG